AUUGAACGCUGGCGGCAGGCCUAACACAUGCAAGUCGAGCGGAUGAAGGGAGCUUGCUCCUGGAUUCAGCGGCGGACGGGUGAGUAAUGCCUAGGAAUCUGCCUGGUAGUGGGGGAUAACGUCCGGAAACGGGCGCUAAUACCGCAUACGUCCUGAGGGAGAAAGCGGGGGAUCUUCGGACCUCACGCUAUCAGAUGAGCCUAGGUCGGAUUAGCUAGUUGGUGGGGUAAAGGCCUACCAAGGCGACGAUCCGUAACUGGUCUGAGAGGAUGAUCAGUCACACUGGAACUGAGACACGGUCCAGACUCCUACGGGAGGCAGCAGUGGGGAAUAUUGGACAAUGGGCGAAAGCCUGAUCCAGCCAUGCCGCGUGUGUGAAGAAGGUCUUCGGAUUGUAAAGCACUUUGAGUUGGGAGGAGGGGCAGUAAGUUAAUACCUUGCUGUUUUGACGUUACCAACAGAAUAAGCACCGGCUAACUUCGUG
rnacentral:rRNA from 1 species